rnacentral:miRNA from 1 species
AGGAAGCAAGAGAACCCUGUGG